rfam:Macaca mulatta 1099213956656, whole genome shotgun sequence.
CACCGUUUCAGUGGCAUUUAAAUCCCCGGCGCUCCGCCGUCUAGGUGACGCGCAGUCGCCCCCCCAGGCAGCCCAGGCGGCGGCAGCUGCUGCGGCGA